rnacentral:lncRNA from 1 species
ACAGGAGGAUAGGGCAUAAACUUCUUGUUGCUCUUCUUUCAACCCAACAUUGUUUCUCAUGCACUGUCGGUUUUUAAUUCAGUAAGCAUUUGGGGGUGUCCACUAUAUUUCAGGCUGCUUCAAGUGAUGGUAUGACUGACCAGUUAUGAAGGCACGGUUUAAAGGGUAAGUUAAGACCCAGCUCUGGUUACUCACAGAUGCCAAGCAUGAGAGGACAUCCUAUGAGUGUAAUGUAUUUCCCAUACAUUUCACAACAGAAGACAUAUAGGGCUGUCUGCACAUCCCAUGGAGGAGAGACCCUAGAGGAGUGUUUGAGAACAUAGUUCUGAAGUCAGUUCCAACACUCUCUCUUCCAUUUAUUUGCUAGAGGAUUGACCACGUUGCUUAACCUCCUUGUAGCACAAUUUCCUCAUCUUCUGAUUGGGGAUAACAGUACUUUAUGGGGUUGUUGUGAGGAUUAUGUGCUCUGUGUGUGUGUGUGUGUUUACACCUGUGUUUACAAAAGAGGUUAACAAACUAGUCUGUGAGCCAGAUUUGGCUGCUGCCUGUUUUUGUAUGGCCUAGGGACUAAUAAUAGUUUUUACAUAUAUUAAAAAUUGAAAAAAAUUGAAAAGUAAUAUAAUAUUUUUGACGUUUGAACAUUAUAUGAAAUUCGGUGUCCAUUUAUUCAGUGUCCAUAGAUAACACAGUUGUACUCAUUUGCUUAUGUGCUGGCUAUAGCUCCUCUCACUCUACAAAGACAGAAUUGAGCAUCUGUGAAUGAGACUUAGUUUGACUUUCAAAGCCUAAUACAUGAUCUGGCCAUUUAAAGGAAAAAAAAAAAAGUUGAAUUCUGGCUUCCAUUUUCUAAGUUAGAAUAAUAAUCUGGCUUGACCUUUAGUGUGAACAUCUCUUCAUCUUAGCUAAAUGUGAUGCUUGAAGACUAUUCAUGUGGUUGAAAAGUACAAGCAUGUAUCUGAUUCAGAUGUCUUUUUCCUUGUCGCAUCUUAGAAUUUCAUGAAGAGUGAAAAUAUCUGAAACCUCUUGUCUGUGCAGGUGGGCCUUUAAAGCUUCAUGGAACCUAAUGUUUGGUAACUAGUUUAACGGGUGUGCAUGUCAUAUCAUAGAGAACAUUGUAAAAUGUUCACUGAAGCCCACAGAGGGUUUUAUCCACUACAUUCUCUCUUGCUCCCCACCCCCGACCACAUCCAUAGGAAAUUAUCUUUGAGAAUAACGAAGUAUUGCGAACAAAGAGGAAUUAAAAUUAUAUUCCCGAGGCAGAUCCCAUUAUCAUCUCAUAGGAAUCUAACUCAAACCAACAGGGGGUGCCAGGUCAGCAUGCAUGUCUCUGGUGCAAAAGCACCCCUCCCAGGUCUUUCUAGAUGGGAGCUCAAUUUGGGUCCACGAUCACUCAACACAUUUGAGGAAGUCCAUUCCAUGUAGCAUUAUUUCAGAUCCUACUAUGAUGUGUUGCUUUAGUGAGGUGGCUCAAUCAUUCUGCUAUUAUUUAUUCAUGUGUAGACUUCUUAUACAAAUUGCUUCACUUACUGCUCUUGGGCUCCCAAUUCUGAACCUCUCUUUUGAAAAUCAAUAACACCUUUCUUCUGAGGGAAACUCUGGGCAAAGCCAGCUGUGAUGACUUUUGUUAUACUUCUUUGCAUUAAUUAUUCAUGGUUAUUUAUUGAAUAAUUCAACAUGUUAUAUGAUAAUUUUAAAGUUCUCUACCUUGUUACUGAAAAGUGAAGACUUUUUGGGCCAUCAAUUGAUUCAUGCCACAUGAAGCUAUUAUCACUGAGUGCAUGCAGUGUGUGAGAAGGUGACAUUCAGUUUUCAGGUUUCAUUAAAUAAAAUAAAGAUGAUUUGAGUAUAUUCCAUGGCCCUUAAGGAGAACAGGGAGCCUAUUCUUAUUCAAGCUACACUGUAAGUAAAGGGGAAUUACCAGUUUACUUAGAAAAGGCACAUUUUCUUGUUCCUUUUAUAAAGUACCAAUGAAAUAAUGAAGUAACACAUCUUCCCUCUAUAGUUAAUUAAAUGACAUAAAAUUUCCCCACAAAGUGGUUUAUUCUUUCUUUCCUUGUUUUCCUCUCCAUUUACUUCUUUAAUUUCACUUGACAAAAAGCAAAUGAUUUUUUAAGUAUUUGUCUUUCUUAUUUUUAAUUAUCUGUUUUUAUCACUGUUUCAUUCAAUUGUUCAUUCCUUUAUUCUGACACUUGAAUAUACAUUAACUGUCUUUCAGAUGCUUAUAGUUCUUUUGUAAAUGCACAAGUCCACCACCUAAACAAACCAAUCAUAAUCCACAGUGUCACUUACAGCUGUUUGACAUAGAGAGCAGCAAAGUUAGAAUUGUUGACUUUCCAUCGGUUCCUUCUCUGGAUUUCUAGUAUUUCUACACUAAGUAAUUCUCCUUCUAUCUAGGCCUCUAAACAGUUUUUAUCUGUAUGGAAAUACCUCUAAGUGAUGUAUAAUAUAACUCAAAGUCCUGUAGCAAUGUUUGAACCAAUGGGCUAUUUUAUUACUCUAUUAUCAGAAGGCAUAUCAGUUCACACUGGGUUGGGGAUGGGCCAGAAAAGCUGAAUAUGAAAUAAAGUAUUUUAUAAGCCUAGUGUCAUGUGGCUAAAAUGUUCCAAAUAAGUAGCUCAGAGAAGCUGUAGCGCAAAUAUAUAAUCGAUUACUAAUUUAGAACUAUUACAUCUUAGAUAUCUCUCUGCAGAGGUAUCUUUAUAGAGUUCCUGCGAGGCAGAUUUUGAAAUCACAUGGUUUCCUUGUGAUUAUGGAGUCAGAUCAAAACAAAGAGGAAUGGAUAAAAUAUUUAUUAAUUGAUUUAUGGCUCAUCUUCUAAGGACUUAAAGCCAUUUAAAAACUAAUGAGGAAAUACAUGCUAAUGAGAAAUGAGGUGAAGAUCAUGUGGAGUUAGAGGACAAAAAUCCUCCAUCUUGGCUUCUGCAUCAGGAGGUAAACUGGCUCACUGUGAGCAAAGGUUGUUUUUAAGCGAAUAUUUAAGAAAAAGAGCAUGAAAUUUCCGACUGUGCUAAUUUUUCCACAGUUACCAUGAUUCUAUCAUAAAUAUGCCCUGUUUAAUUUAUUACUUUUGUAAAAAAAAAAUCUUUGAGUAAAUUCGAUGAUCUAGAAAUAUGUGCAAUUUAGGGAGUUCCCGUCGUGGCACAGUGUAAGUGAAUCCAACCAGGAACCAUGAGGUUGGAGGUUUGAUCCCUGGCCUCGCUCAGUGGGUUAAGGGGUUAAGGAUCCAGUGUUGCCAUGAGCUGUGGUAUAAGUCGAAGGCGUGGCUUGCAUCUGGUGUUGCUGUGGCUGUGGCAUAAGCUGGCAGCUGUAGCUCCAAUUAGACCCCUAGCAUGGGAACCUCCAUAUGCCACAGGUACGGCCCUAAAAAG